GAAACCCAGUGUGUUUCGACACACUAUCAUGUCAUGAAUACAUAGUGGCAUGAGGCGAACCGGGGGAACUGAAACAUCUAAGUACCCCGAGGAAAAGAAAUCAACCGAGAUUCCCCCAGUAGCGGCGAGCGAACGGGGAGGAGCCCAGAACCUGAAUCGGCUUGUGUGUUAGUGGAAGCGUCUGGAAAGUCGCGCAGCAAAGGGUGAUAGCCCCGUACACUAAAAUGCACAGGUCGUGAGUUCGAUGAGUAGGGCGGGACACGUGACAUCCUGUCUGAAUAUGGGGGGACCAUCCUCCAAGGCUAAAUACUCCUGACUGACCGAUAGUGAACCAGUACCGUGAGGGAAAGGCGAAAAGAACCCCGGCGAGGGGAGUGAAAUAGAACCUGAAACCGUGUACGUACAAGCAGUGGGAGCACCUUCGUGGUGUGACUGCGUACCUUUUGUAUAAUGGGUCAGCGACUUAUAUUUUGUAGCAAGGUUAACCGUAUAGGGGAGCCGUAGGGAAACCGAGUCUUAACUGGGCGAAUAGUUGCAAGGUAUAGACCCGAAACCCGGUGAUCUAGCCAUGGGCAGGUUGAAGGUUGGGUAACACUAACUGGAGGACCGAACCGACUAAUGUUGAAAAAUUAGCGGAUGACUUGUGGCUGGGGGUGAAAGGCCAAUCAAACCGGGAGAUAGCUGGUUCUCCCCGAAAGCUAUUUAGGUAGCGCCUCGUGAACUCAUCUUCGGGGGUAGAGCACUGUUUCGGCUAGGGGGCCAUCCCGGCUUACCAAACCGAUGCAAACUCCGAAUACCGAAGAAUGUUAUCACGGGAGACACACGGCGGGUGCUAACGUCCGUCGUGAAGAGGGAAACAACCCAGACCGCCAGCUAAGGUCCCAAAGUCAUGGUUAAGUGGGAAACGAUGUGGGAAGGCACAGACAGCCAGGAUGUUGGCUUAGAAGCAGCCAUCAUUUAAAGAAAGCGUAAUAGCUCACUGGUCGAGUCGGCCUGCGCGGAAGAUGUAACGGGGCUAAACCAUGCACCGAAGCUGCGGCAGCGACGCUUAGGCGUUGUUGGGUAGGGGAGCGUUCUGUAAGCCGUUGAAGGUGGCCUGUGAGGGUUGCUGGAGGUAUCAGAAGUGCGAAUGCUGACAUAAGUAACGAUAAAGCGGGUGAAAAGCCCGCUCGCCGGAAGACCAAGGGUUCCUGUCCAACGUUAAUCGGGGCAGGGUGAGUCGACCCCUAAGGCGAGGCUGAAAAGCGUAGUCGAUGGGAAACAGGUUAAUAUUCCUGUACUUGGUGUUACUGCGAAGG
rnacentral:rRNA from 1 species